CCGCAGGACGGCGACAGGGAAGUCUGCUCGGAGAACAAAAUCGCCACCACCCGCUACCCGUGCCUGAAGCCCACGGGCGAGCUCACCACCUGCUUCAGGUGGAUGAAUCAGACCUUCAGAAUCACUGAGUGCUUCGGCUCUGAGGGAGAAGUCAUCUGAGAGCUCUGCAAUUAAAUGAAUUCAGGGCAACCCCAAUCUUCCCUUCCCUUCCCUUCCCUUCCCUUUCCUUCCCUUUUUAAACUGUGUAUUUGAGAAACAUCAUCUGCUUUUCAGAAUAAUUUUAAAGCUGUUGUAAGGAUGAUAAAUGUCUCAGAACACUUGAUGAUACAUUGAAAUAUACACAAAGCGUGAGCAUA